rnacentral:lncRNA from 1 species
CUGGACCUCCUUGAGUAGAGUUUAUGCCAAAUCUCCCCAUUAGGUAGCUGGGGCUGCCUAAGUCCUGCAUCGGAAGUGGAAAACUCCCAGACAGGACAGUUCCAUCAACACUGACCUGGAAUGCAGACAAUAUGAGAAACAACUGAAACAGACCCUCAACAGACUUGUAGCAUGAGAAAGAAGGAAACUCGUUUUAUGGUUUUUUAUUACUGUAACAUGACCUAGCCUGUCCUGACUGGACCCCAACUAAUACAAUAAAUC